CAAAACAUUCGUAUCAGCAGUGAGGGAGAUGUUGCUUUUUGCUGGACUAUUUCCCAUUAAGUUUUGAGACUCAGCGUUAACUCAGGAUGUCUUUGACUUUCCAGGGGAAUACGAGGCAGUGAAAGAACUGGGACUCGCCAGAGCCCGAGGAUAUGCAGUGGACGUGACUCUGGAUCCAGACACGGUUCAUCCUGAACUCGUCCUGUCUGAGGAUCGGAAACGUGUGAGAUGCGGAGACACACACCAGGAUCUGUCCGACAACCCUGAGAGAUUUGAUACUUGUCUGUGUGUCCUGGGUGCUGAGGGGUUCACAGGCGGGAGGUGUUACUGGGAGGUGGAGGUGGGAGACAAGACAGGGUGGUCUCUGGGAGUUUGUAGGGAAACUGUGAGCAGGAAGGGGAGGGUCACACUCACACCUGGGAAUGGAUACUGGGCCGUGCAGCGGUUUGGUGGGAGAUACGAGGCCUGCACUUCUCCCCCGACCCCCCUUCCCAUGAACAUCAGGCCCAGCCGGGUGGGGAUUUUCCUGGACUAUGAGGCGGGCGAGGUCUCGUUUUACAAUGUGACUGACAGGUCCCAUCUCUUCACUUUCACUGACACCUUCUCCGGGACGCUCCACCCUUAUUUAAAUCCUGUUUGCAAUACUUGGGGUAAAAAUGUGGCUCCCCUGAUAAUCUGCCCGGUCCCAGCUCAGGCUGGAGGGAAUCUCAGUCAUGGACAGUGACCUCGCGGCAGAGACUGGCCCCUCCCAGCGCUGCUGCUUUUCCCACCCCCCAGUGGUGGGAGCUAGUUACUGCAGGUAACUGGACGUUUUGUGCUGACCGGAUGCAGCCAGUUUCCCUUUUCAACUGGAGGUUCCAGUAAAAAGCCAGACACCUGGCAACCCCAGCCCAGGCUGGGUGAAUGGGACCCACUUGCUGGAAGGAGCCAGACAGUUUUCCCCCUCCCCCUGUGUUUGCUCCACCCCUGGCACAGGGUGAUGCUGGUAAGAAAUACUGCCAGACAGCUGGUGGUUUUUGCUGCCCUCACCUUUCCCUGUCCCCUGCCCCAGGUGUAUCAGAAGGAGGUGGACGGGGGUCAUUCACUCCUGUCCGAAUUUUCUACCUCUGUGAAAUAUCAAUGUAAAAUAUGAAAAAAAUAAUUCUAAUGUUAUUUUUGUAAUGAGGUGAAAAUACAAGAACACUUUCAUUUACAUUUCAGUAUUUCAAAAACAAGCAUCCAAACAUAUUUUUAGAAAUGGAAUUAUUUACAUUUAUUCUUUUAUUGUUCCCUCAAAUCUAUAUUGAAGUUUAACUUCUCUACAUAGCAUCAUUUGUAGUUCAACUGUGGAAUUUCAAGAAAUCCAAAAUACUUAUCUUAACAAAAUUAAUUAUUAUCAGAUUGGGUUGGUCAGUUACAAUGUACAUCACAACUACACACAUGUGCAGCUGUGUUCUCUCUCUCUCCCUCUCUUUAUUGUCUUGACUGGUUCUCUGUGAAAGACAGGACACAUACACCCACCUCCUGCAUUACAUCUUUGAAAAAUAAUAGGUGAAAAAAUGAUAAAAUUAAUUAAGCAAUAUAUUUAAAUUAACUCACACAAAAUUAUAUAAUAUUCUUUGAACUUCUCAUGUGAUUUUAAACUUUCUAGCUGCAUAUAAUCAGUAAUCAAUCUAUGACCCUUCCUUUUUUGUUCUCACAUCAGUUAACAAAACACGGUCCCCAACAUAAGAACAUAAGAAUGGCCGUAUCGGGUCAGACCAAAGGUUCAUCUAGUCCAAUAUCUGUCUACCAACAGUGGCCAAUGCCAGGUGCCCCAGAGGGAGUGAACCUAAC